rnacentral:tRNA from 1 species
GGAGGCGCUUCGGUCCUGGUGGGCCGCCUGGUCUUCAACACCAGUGUGAGAGGGUGACCUCUCGGCUAGGUUCGAUCCCUGGGCGCUUCCGCA